GACCGCGUGGCUCAGUUGGCAGAGCAUUGGACUAGUAUUCCAAAGGUCGUAGGUUCGAAUCCCACCGUGGCCA